UGCGUAGGUGGCCAUGAAAGUCUGAUGUGAAAUCUCCGGGCUUAACCCGGAAAAUGCAUUGGAUACUCUGUGGCUGGAGGUUUGGAGGGGGGACUGGAAUUCUCGGUGUAGCAGUGAAAUGCGUAGAUAUCGAGAGGAACACCAGUGGCGAAGGCGGGUCCCUGGACAACACCUGACACUGAGGCACGAAAGCUAGGGGAGCAAACA
rnacentral:rRNA from 1 species